rnacentral:rRNA from 1 species
CUGCGGAAGGAUCAUUACCGAGUGUAGGGUUCCUAGCGAGCCCAACCUCCCACCCGUGUUUACUGUACCUUAGUUGCUUCGGCGGGCCCGCCAUUGAUGGGCGCCGGGGGCUCUCAGCCCCGGGCCCGCGCCCGCCGGAGACACCACGAACUCUGUCUGAUCUAGUGAAGUCUGAGUUGAUUGUAUCGCAAUCAGUUAAAACUUUCAACAAUGGAUCUCUUGGUUCCGGCAUCGAUGAAGAACGCAGCGAAAUGCGAUAACUAGUGUGAAUUGCAGAAUUCCGUGAAUCAUCGAGUCUUUGAACGCACAUUGCGCCCCCUGGUAUUCCGGGGGGCAUGCCUGUCCGAGCGUCAUUGCUGCCCAUCAAGCACGGCUUGUGUGUUGGGUCGUCGUCCCCUCUCCGGGGGGGACGGGCCCCAAAGGCAGCGGCGGCACCGCGUCCGAUCCUCGAGCGUAUGGGGCUUUGUCACCCGCUNCUGUAGGCCCGGCCGGCGCUUGCCGAACGCAAAUCAAUCUUUUUCCAGGUUGACCUCGGAUCAGGUAGGGAUACCCGCUGAACUUAAGCAUAUCAAUAAGCGGAGGA